GAUGAACGCUGGCGGCGUGCCUAAUACAUGCAAGUCGAGCGAACAGACGAGGAGCUUGCUCCUCUGACGUUAGCGGCGGACGGGUGAGUAACACGUGGAUAACCUACCUAUAAGACUGGGAUAACUUCGGGAAACCGGAGCUAAUACCGGAUAAUAUAUUGAACCGCAUGGUUCAAUAGUGAAAGACGGUUUUGCUGUCACUUAUAGAUGGAUCCGCGCCGCUUUAGCUAGUUGGUAAGGUAACGGCUUACCAAGGCAACGAUGCGUAGCCGACCUGAGAGGGUGAUCGGCCACGCUGGAACUGAGACACGGUCCAGACUCCUACGGGAGGCAGCAGUAGGGAAUCUUACGCAAUGGGCGAAAGCCUGACGGAGCAACGCCGCGUGAGUGAUGAAGGUCUUCGGAUCGUAAAACUCUGUUAUUAGGGAAAAACAAAUGUGUAAGUAACUAUGCACGUCUUGACGGUACCUAAUCAGAAAGCCCCGGCUAACUACGUG
rnacentral:rRNA from 1 species